rnacentral:rRNA from 1 species
GAUGAACGCUGGCGGCGUGCUUAACACAUGCAAGUCGAACGGAAAGGCCCUGCUUUCUUGGUGGAUUCGUGUCGCACGCGUGUGUAUCACACGAGUAUCCUCUCCUUGUCACUUUGAUAUACCUUCAGGAAUCUGUCUCUUACUCCGGAUAGACGCCCCUGCUGCGGGGUGUGUUUUGAAGAGUUUCGGCGGUUGGGGAUGGACUCGCGGCUUAUCAGCUUGUUGGUGGGGUAGUGGCUCACCAAGGCGUCGACGGGUAGCCGGCCUGAGAGGGUGACCGGCCACACUGGGACUGAGACACGGCCCAGACUCCUACGGGAGGCAGCAGUGGGGAAUAUUGCACAAUGGGCGAAAGCCUGAUGCAGCGACGCCGCGUGAGGGAUGACGGCCUUCGGGUUGUAAACCGCUUUCAGUAGGGAAGAAGCGAAAGUGACGGUACCGGGAGAAGAAGCACCGGCUAACUACGUG